GAAAUGCGAUAAGUAAUGUGAAUUGCAGUAUUCAGUGAAUCAUCGAAUCUUUGAACGCACAUUGCGCCCGCCAGUAUUCUGGCGGGCAUGCCUGUUCGAGCGUCAUUUCAACCAUCAAGCCCCCGGGCUUGUGUUGGGGACCUGCGGCUGCCGCAGGCCCCGAAAACCAGUGGCGGGCUCGCUGUCACACCGGGCGUAGUAGAUUUUUCGUCUCGCCCAGGGCGUGCUGCGGGUUCCGGCCGUUAAAAAGCCUCUCUUUUUAACCCAAGGUUGACCUCGGAUCAGGUAGGAAGACCCGCUGAACUUAAGC
rnacentral:misc_RNA from 1 species